rnacentral:lncRNA from 10 species
GAGACUAGACUCUGCUUCUAAUGGCUAAAUGACAGAGGAGAAAAUAGAGCUUCUGGUCCAUGUCAAGUGAAAAGGGAAGGCUUUAAAAAAAAAAACAGUUUGGAAGACUACCAUUUUAAAGAAAAGGUUCACUUCGUGGCGGCAGAGUAAAGGCCACAGCUACUGGAAAAUGACUUUCCCUAGCCUCCCCUUCCUGAUUUUCAUCAAUCACAUUAUCCCCUUGCUCCUUCCAGCUUAGUGGUGGUAAGAAAUCAUACUCCCUUAUACAUCUUUCCCACUGUUGCUGGCCCUUGUGCUUUAUGUCAAGGCACUUUUCCUAUACUUGCCUGUAAGUUUUAUGGGCUCUGUUAAGUUUGUCCAAGACUGUUCUUGCUAGCUUUUGGUUUGUUUCUUUAUAAAAUAAUAAAAUUGAUUUAUGUGAUCUGUCAAUUGAACAAGUUAGGAUCGUUAGAUAUUAAAUUUUGUCUAAUUCGUUGUGCUGCCAAUAGUUAGUUAAGGAACUGGCAAUCUGUUAAAUCUCAAUAUAUAUCAACUGGAAUUGUUUUUAGCCACAAAAUCUUUCUGUGUUCUUUUUCAAAAACUCAAAGUGUGACAUGCAAAUAUGAAUUUGAUUCUGUGAUACACUAAUCAGUAUUAGAAAAAAAUGUAGUGUACUUGCAUGUUAUAUUUAUCACAAUGUGACUGAAUUUAAACUAAUAUUUUUAUCAUAAAUUGUGUGGAAGAAAUGUUUCAUGAU